UCGAGAAUCUUCGGCAAUGGGCGCAAGCCUGACCGAGCGACGCCGCGUGUGGGAUGAAGGCCUUCGGGUUGUAAACCACUGUCAGAGGGGAGGAAAUAUAUGUGGGUACUCCCAUGUAUUUGACCUAUCCUCAGAGGAAGUACGGGCUAAGUUCGUGCCAGCAGCCGCGGUAAGACGAACCGUACGAACGUUAUUCGGAAUUACUGGGCUUAAAGGGUGCGUAGGCGGCGCAGUAAGUUGGGUGUGAAAUCCCUCGGCUUAACCGAGGAAUUGCGCCCAAAACUACUGUGCUCGAGGGAGGUAGAGGUGAGCGGAACUUAGGGUGGAGCGGUGAAAUGCGUUGAUAUCCUAAGGAACACCGGUGGCGAAAGCGGCUCACUGGACCUCUUCUGACGCUGAGGCACGAAAGCUAGGGUAGCAAACGG
rnacentral:rRNA from 1 species